rnacentral:rRNA from 1 species
GAUGAACGCCGGCGGUGUGCCUAAUACAUGCAAGUCGAACGCGUUGGCCCAAUUGAUUGAUGGUGCUUGCACCCGAUUGAUUUUGGUCGCCAACGAGUGGCGGACGGGUGAGUAACACGUAGGUAACCUGCCCAGAAGCGGGGGACAACAUUUGGAAACAGAUGCUAAUACCGCAUAACAGCGUUGUUCGCAUGAACAACGCUUAAAAGAUGGCUUCUCGCUAUCACUUCUGGAUGGACCUGCGGUGCAUUAGCUUGUUGGUGGGGUAACGGCCUACCAAGGCGAUGAUGCAUAGCCGAGUUGAGAGACUGAUCGGCCACAAUGGGACUGAGACACGGCCCAUACUCCUACGGGAGGCAGCAGUAGGGAAUCUUCCACAAUGGGCGCAAGCCUGAUGGAGCAACACCGCGUGAGUGAAGAAGGGUUUCGGCUCGUAAAGCUCUGUUGUUAAAGAAGAACACGUAUGAGAGUAACUGUUCAUACGUUGACGGUAUUUAACCAGAAAGUCACGGCUAACUACGUGCCAGCAGCCGCGGUAAUACGUAGGUGGCAAGCGUUAUCCGGAUUUAUUGGGCGUAAAGAGAGUGCAGGCGGUUUUCUAAGUCUGAUGUGAAAGCCUUCGGCUUAACCGGAGAAGUGCAUCGGAAACUGGAUAACUUGAGUGCAGAAGAGGGUAGUGGAACUCCAUGUGUAGCGGUGGAAUGCGUAGAUAUAUGGAAGAACACCAGUGGCGAAGGCGGCUACCUGGUCUGCAACUGACGCUGAGACUCGAAAGCAUGGGUAGCGAACAGGAUUAGAUACCCUGGUAGUCCAUGCCGUAAACGAUGAGUGCUAGGUGUUGGAGGGUUUCCGCCCUUCAGUGCCGGAGCUAACGCAUUAAGCACUCCGCCUGGGGAGUACGACCGCAAGGUUGAAACUCAAAGGAAUUGACGGGGGCCCGCACAAGCGGUGGAGCAUGUGGUUUAAUUCGAAGCUACGCGAAGAACCUUACCAGGUCUUGACAUCUUGCGCCAACCCUAGAGAUAGGGCGUUUCCUUCGGGAACGCAAUGACAGGUGGUGCAUGGUCGUCGUCAGCUCGUGUCGUGAGAUGUUGGGUUAAGUCCCGCAACGAGCGCAACCCUUGUUACUAGUUGCCAGCAUUAAGUUGGGCACUCUAGUGAGACUGCCGGUGACAAACCGGAGGAAGGUGGGGACGACGUCAGAUCAUCAUGCCCCUUAUGACCUGGGCUACACACGUGCUACAAUGGACGGUACAACGAGUCGCGAACUCGCGAGGGCAAGCAAAUCUCUUAAAACCGUCCUCAGUUCGGACUGCAGGCUGCAACUCGCCUGCACGAAGUCGGAAUCGCUAGUAAUCGCGGAUCAGCAUGCCGCGGUGAAUACGUUCCCGGGCCUUGUACACACCGCCCGUCACACCAUGAGAGUUUGUAACACCCAAAGUCGGUGGGGUAACCUUUUAGGAGCCAGCCGCCUAAGGUGGGACAGAUGAUUAGGGUG